ACAGUACAGUAUAGGAAAGUGCGCUACGGCCCACAAUGUUAGUGCGAAACAUGACGCCAAGACCAUCUUCCUGUA